GAGCAUUUAAAAUUGCAUCACUACUAAAAUAUUAAAUAAUCAUGUUCGCAUUUAAUGUUCGCACUCGAGCAUUCCAAUGCAUUUUAACUCAAGGCACGCACGCACAAGCAUGAUUAUUGAUUCACACAUGCAUCUUUAAUUUUUUUUUUUUUUGAUAUUAAUCACGAGGUAUCCUGGGGAGGGCCCCAACUGUGGGAGGCACCUUUAAGCCCGUACCACAACCCAGACUAGAAGUCCUCGCUCGAACCGGGAGGCACAGGUUCUCCCAACACAUGCAUCUUUAAUUAAUUAACUAAAAUAUGGCACUUGAAAAGUCUUUGGGGGUGCCUACAAAUUGAAAUUUGGUAACACAAUUAAUGCUAAGAAAUUAAUCUGGCUACCGUAUAUCCUGCAACGACAUGGAUAAAGGACUGUUCCACCAUUCAACCUGAAAUCAUCGAGUGAAAGAAACAAGAUAAUGAGC
rnacentral:lncRNA from 1 species